rnacentral:ribozyme from 1 species
UGUUUGAUUUGUUCUGUUAAAGGGUUGGAUCCGACGCCUUUUGGAGGCUACUAUAGGCUCUCCUUCUCAACUCCUACUCGAUACGUCCACGACGUGCAGAACGGUAACUUGUCGCCUAGAUCCAAGCUUGGGUACACGUGGAAGCCCAACCCCUUGGGCGGAUGGGCGGCAUGGCUGAAUUGAGAGGU